UGAGGAAUAUUGGUCAAUGGGCGGAAGCCUGAACCAGCCAUCCCGCGUGCAGGAAGACAGCCCUAUGGGUUGUAAACUGCUUUUCCAGUGGGCGAAACACUCGUACGUGUACGAGAUUGACGGUACACUGGGAAUAAGCAUCGGCUAACUCCGUGCCAGCAGCCGCGGUAAUACGGAGGAUGCAAGCGUUAUCCGGAUUUGUUGGGUUUGAAGGGUGCGUAGGCGGAUGAAUAAGUCAGUGGUGAAAGGCUGCAGCUUAACUGUAGACUUGCCGUUGAUACUGUUUAUCUUGAGUAUGGUCAAGGCAGGCGGAAUGUGUAAUGUAGCGGUGAAAUGCCUAGAUAUUACACAGAACACCGAUUGCGAAGGCAGCUUGCUGGGCCAUUACUGACGCUGAUGCACGAAAGCGUGGGGAGCGAACAG
rnacentral:rRNA from 1 species